UGGAAAGUGCACAAAACGAUAUCCGCGAC
rnacentral:sRNA from 1 species